rnacentral:rRNA from 1 species
AUCAGGUAGUUGGUAAGGUAACGGCUUACCAAGCCUAUGACGGGUAGCCGGUUUGAGAUGAUGAUCGGCCGCGAUGGGACUGAGACUCGGCCCAUACUCCUACGGGAGGCAGCAGUGGGGAAUAUUGCACAAUGGACGAAAGUCUGAUGCAGCGAUUCUGCGUGGAGGAUGAAGCAUUACGGUGUGUAAACUCCUUUUCUGGUAGAAGACGAAUGACGGUAUACCAGGAAUAAGGGACGGCUAACUAUGUGCCAGCAGCCGCGGUAAUACAUAGGUCCCAAGCGUUAUCCGGAUUUACUGGGCGUAAAGAGUCUGUAGCCUGAUAUGUAAGUCUGUUUUCAAAUACUCCGACUCAAUCGGAGAAAGGGGAUAGAUACUGCAUAUCUGGAAGUUAUUGGGGGUUAGUGGAAUUUCCGGUGGAGCGGUGAAAUGCGUUGAUAUCGGAAAGAACGCCGAAAGUGAAAACAGCUAACUACAAUAAACUUGACGGUCAGAGACGAAAGCUUGGGGAGCAAACGGGAUUAGAUACCCCGGUAGUCCAAGCUGUAAAUUAUUCUUUCUAGAUGUUUUGGACCCUUC